rnacentral:lncRNA from 1 species
AACAAACAAAGGCACACGAACGACCUAACUAGGCUUGACUCACUUAGGGACUUGAUAUUCCCCAGCAGAGUCGCCAUCUGUCGUACCUCGGAAAAAUGAGAGACACGACCUAAGCGAAGUGCAAUCGCACGCUCGCAAUGAUGAACUGAACAGAGUCGCCACCGAACUUUAUUUAUUCCUAAAAAGGAAAGGGGAAAUAUUGAUAAAACCCAAGAAAUAAUGACAAUGAUUAUGGUCGUCGCAACCAAUAUCAG